UACGUAGGGACCGAGCGUUGUCCGGAAUCAUUGGGCGUAAAGAGCGUGUAGGCGGCCAACUAAGUCCUGCGUGAAAUCUCGGGGCUCAACCCCGAGCGGUCGUGGGAAACUGGUUGGCUAGAGUGCGGGAGAGGAGAGUGGAAUUCCUGGUGUAGCGGUGAAAUGCGCAGAUAUCAGGAAGAACACCCGUGGCGAAGGCGGCUCUCUAGAACGCAACUGACGCUGAGACGCGAAAGCGUGGGGAGCAAACAGG
rnacentral:rRNA from 1 species